GAUGGGGCCAACGGUAUCAGACCUCCAAGAGCACUCUGGAACACCAUAAAUAUAAAAAAUCUAUUUGUCAGGGAUUUUCCAGCAAGAUACCCAUCAAUGUCUAAAUUGGAUCAUCUUGGUGGAACAAAAGGAGUUUUGAGCAGUGAUAGAUACAGAGAGUAAGAGUAAAGGAAGUCGGAGCAUAUGGAAGGGGAGAGGGAGCUCCACGAGUCAAGGGAGCAAGUUCUAUUGGAAUUGUGAAAAACUAUAUCGGACUUAACUUCUCUUCCAUUUAGAC
rnacentral:lncRNA from 1 species